GGUUGUCAGAGGCUUCUCUUGCGCGCACACAAGCGCAGACACACACGCACACACACACAAAACCACAGCACUAAAACUAAAUUAAGAAGCCGAUGAUUAAGACAAGCGUCUACGAGGCCUGUCAUUUCAGCAUCCUUCCAUCAUAACAUUGUGGCACCGAGAAAUUUGCUUGAAAACCCUGGAAAAAAAUGUCUAUGGGAGAGCCUCAUGUUUGAGGCUGUUAAUAUCAAAUAUAGACUGGGAACUGCCUCGGAUGCAAGAUAGUAUUCCACAGAGGAAAAGAGCACUGAAGAGACCUCGGUGCUAUCCGCGCUCUUCUGAAACUCCGGACUGACUUGAUCGUCUCUGAAAACGCAGAACAGAUCAUGAGAUCUCUCCUUUCCACCAACCGUGUGGAAGAUGCUUGCAGAAGAGCCCUGAGAACAAAUCAAAGCAAAGCAACUUAAUUAAAGGCAGUUAGUGCAACAAUUGUGUCAUGGAAUACCUAACAUUUCUUUACCUGUAACUAACUUAUUUAUUUUUUGGAUUCAGUAAAUGUCAGCUACUCCAAGCAUA